ensembl:lncRNA
CUUCAGUCUGAGGCUUUGCAGUUCUUCCUCCACCAACCUCUUCACUUUGCUCCUCCUCCUCCUUCUUCUUCUCUCGUUGGUUUUCCUGUCCAGCUCUGCACCAGAGUGAUUCUGCAUCCAUCGGUGGUGAGUUGGUUUCAGAACAAGAGUCUUCAGAGGGUUUGUGUUUAGCAGAAUAAAAUCCCCAUGGUGCCUGUGUUGGUUAUGGUUUUCAGAAUAAGAGUCCCCAUGGUGCCUGUGUUGGUUAUGGUUUUCAGAAUAAGAGUCCCCAUUGUGCCUGUGUUGGUUAUGGUUUUCAGAAUAAGAGUCCUCAAAGAGUGUUUGAACCACUUUGUUUUCAGAAGGGUUGUCAGGGUGUCUUUGGUUGGUCUUAUCUUCACAAUAAGAGUUGUAAGAGUGCUUGGGUUGUCUAUUACAUUCAGAAUAAGAGUCCACAGAGUGUGUAUUUUCUUGUGUCUCCUCCUCUUCCUCGCCUUCUUUCAUUAUUUGCUCUUCCUCCCUCCUACCUCGAUUCUGCUGCUGAACUGUCACCUGAACCUCUUCUUCCACUUCUAUCUCCUCUAACUCAUCCAACUCUCCCUCUGUGUCUUCACUUUCAUUUAGUAAACCUUCAUCCUGCCUAUACUUUGCAUCCUCCAGCUGUUUUUCUUCCUUGUCUUCAUCAUCUGGCACUACCAUUCCAUGCUUCCCUUUCUGCCUCUUCAUCAGCUCUCUCUCCUCCAUCCCUCCCCCUGGCUCCUCCUCCUCUUCCUCUUCACUCACAUCUGUGCAGCUUUCAGGUUCAGUGUUUAACUUCAGACGUAUGCCUGAAUCAGUACCUUCCAUGUUCUCCAGUGACGUCCAGCUGAUGGGUCCCAGGGCUUCAGGAGGAGCAGAGGAGGUGGAGGAGAUUGCGGUGAGGAUGACCGUUCCACAGGGGUCCUGGAUCAGGUUCUCCUCCAUGAGCCUGGAGCAAAGAGGGGUGUGGGAGCUGACCUCCACACCGGGCCAGGAGGAGAGUGUGUGAGUGGCGUGUGUGCUGGUCCUGGCUCGGUGCUGCAGAUUGAUGGACUGGGUUAAGGAGCCUUUCUGUGGGGAGAAGCGAGGCAGCUCCAUCAGCUCCACGUACUCGCCCUCCGAGUCCUCGGUGUCCUCACUCGCUGCUCUCGAGGAGCUGACAUCUCUCACCAGAAGUUGCGACGUUUUCAUCAACAUGUCUCCAUCCUUAACAGGGGACUCGUUCUCCUUCUUCAGGGAGGGCUCGCUGGGGAAUGGUGGGUAGACCAGGUCCGCCCACGGGACCUUAAAGACGUCCCCGUGGGCGGAGAGGAGGCAGCUCUCAAGUCUCCGCGCCCCUCGCUGCUCCCCCUCCUUGUUGAUUGAGUCCAGCCAGGCCAUGCUGAAGAUGACGGCGGGGCUAUCUCGCACAUUUCCUGGUGCUCCACAUGGAGCGGAGGAGGUUGCAGCUCUGAUGCAGGACGCGCUGUGGUCUCAGGGAGGAGGAGCAGGUAGAAGUCUCCUGGAAGCGAAGGCCUCCUCCCCUGCAGCAGCUCUCCACCACACAGAGGACCUGAGGAAGGAGGAGAGAGGGGCCUGGAUGCA